rnacentral:rRNA from 1 species
GAUGAACGCUGGCGGCGUGCCUAAUACAUGCCAGUCGAGCGAACAGACGAGGAGCUUGCUCCUCUGACGUUAGCGGCGGACGGGUGAGUAACACGUGGAUAACCUACCUAUAAGACUGGGAUAACUUCGGGAAACCGGAGCUAAUACCGGAUAAUAUAUUGAACCGCAUGGUUCAAUAGUGAAAGACGGUUUUGCUGUCACUUAUAGAUGGAUCCGCGCCGCAUUAGCUAGUUGGUAAGGUAACGGCUUACCAAGGCAACGAUGCGUAGCCGACCUGAGAGGGUGAUCGGCCACACUGGAACUGAGACACGGUCCAGACUCCUACGGGAGGCAGCAGUAGGGAAUCUUCCGCAAUGGGCGAAAGCCUGACGGAGCAACGCCGCGUGAGUGAUGAAGGUCUUCGGAUCGUAAAACUCUGUUAUUAGGGAAGAACAAACGUGUAAGUAACUAUGCACGUCUUGACGGUACCUAAUCAGAAAGCCACGGCUAACUACGUG